ensembl:miRNA oni-mir-10772 oni-mir-10772
AGGAGGAGGUCUGCUACCCUCUGCCGUCCUCCACUCAGAGAGGAGCGGAACCCCCUGACACC